AGCGAACGCUGGCGGCAGGCCUAACACAUGCAAGUCGAACGAAGUCUUCGGACUUAGUGGCGGACGGGUGAGUAACACGUGGGAACGUGCCUUUAGGUUCGGAAUAACUCAGGGAAACUUGUGCUAAUACCGAAUGUGCCCUUCGGGGGAAAGAUUUAUCGCCUUUAGAGCGGCCCGCGUCUGAUUAGCUAGUUGGUGAGGUAAAGGCUCACCAAGGCUACGAUCAGUAGCUGGUCUGAGAGGACGACCAGCCACAUUGGGACUGAGACACGGCCCGAACUCCUACGGGGGGCAGCAGUGGGGAAUCUUGCGCAAUGGGCGAAAGCCUGACGCAGCCAUGCCGCGUGGAUGAUGAAGGUCUUAGGAUUGUAAAAUCCUUUCACCGGUGAAGAUAAUGACUGUAGCCGGAGAAGAAGCCCCGGCUAACUUCGUGCCAGCAGCCGCGGUAAUAC
rnacentral:rRNA from 1 species